rnacentral:rRNA from 1 species
GUCUUUUGCCACACCACCUGAACGCGCCCGAUCUCGUCUGAUCUCGGAAGCUAAGCAGGGUUGGGCCUGGUUAGUAUUUGGAUGGGAGACCGCCUGGGAAUACCGGGUGCUGUAGGCU